GCAAGUCGAACGAUGAAACCUGCUUGCAGGUGAAUUAGUGGCGAACGGGUGAGUAACACGUGGGAAUCUGCCCAGUAGCGGGGGAUAGCCCGGAGAAAUCCGGAGUAAUACCGCAUACGCCCUACGGGGGAAAGGCUUCGGCCACUACUGGAUGAGCCCGCGUCUGAUUAGCUAGUUGGUGUGGUAAAGGCUCACCAAGGCGACAAUCCGUAGCUGGUCUGAGAGGACGAUC
rnacentral:rRNA from 1 species